CCACUGCCACCCCUCCCCUCUCCCCUUUUUCUUGUUGUGCUUCGCCUCCCUUCCCCUUUUGCCCCCAACCCAUCCCCUUCCCUUUCACUGCCAACCCUUUCCCUCUAUGUUGUUUGUUCCCUUUCUGCCCCACCAGCCACCCUCACUAGUCAUCGUUUCUCUCCCCUUUUGCCUAAACCCUCUCCUCUGCCACCAUAUUGUCAAGGUAUUAAAUUACUUCAAUUAAGUUGUGCAGCAUUGACAUACAGCAGAAUUUAAUUGAAAAAUUAAAGCGUUUGUUUCAAAGACAGUAAAAUGCAGCAUUUACGACAGAAGAAUAAUUUCUAAUUAUUAUGAAUGAGAUUUGAUAUCUUGGUUAAAGACCAAAUCAAGUUCGAAAGAUAAAUGAAAUAUAGAUACUUGGUGGCAGACCAUAAAAAAAAGACUUCACUUGAAAUCUUAUUUUUUUUAUUAUCUGCCACCAACUAUCUACAUCCCCGUUAUCUUUCGAACUUGAUUUAUCCUUUUAACCAAGAUGCCAAAUUCCAUUCAUAGUAAUCAGAAAUUAUUUUUUUUUUUUUGAGAAAUGUAACAAAUGUAUUCUCAAGAUGUUACUGUCCUAGAUGUUACAUUUUACAUGUCUUUGGUAAAGAGAACUUCACAGUGGGAAGAAGGAGAAAAAAGAGUUGGAGCCGGCCAGUGGUGAGUACAACAGCACUGAUGGAUUCUGAAGAAGUUUGGUGAGUUUUUUUCUUUUGGUUUUAUGGUUCUCAAGAUUACCAAAUUAACUCAAAUUCAAAAAUUGCAACCGGAGUAAAACAACUUUGUAACUUGUUGGAUUCACUUUAAAAUGUUACAUUGUAUUCUCACAAUGUAUUGGUUCAAAUCUUCAAUGCAUUAGUAUUCCUUUAGUUUAAUAAAGGAAUGAAAUCAAUGUUCAAUAUCCCCACCUUCCGAAGAUGUUUUCAAGGGAAUUUUUACAAGUCUUAUUUAAUCCUAAAGAUGCUGAAUAGGAAAAAUUUUACAGCUCGCCUUCUCUGAAUGAUUCUAGAAUUGGUACCAACUUUAAUAAGCUGUCACUUUCUUUUGGAUUAUGUUACUUAUGUUAAUAAAAUUUAACUAAAUUGUGUUUUUGGUACAUUCAAGAUAGUUUGCCAUAUUCCAUAAGGAUUCUCCUAUAAUCCGCAAUUUAAAAUUGUGACAACUUCAAAGUUACUAAGGGCCUGUUUGGAUAGGUUCACAAGUUACUUUUUUUUUUUUUUUAACUUUUAACUUGUGAAAAAGUAUAGUAUUAAUGUCUGGUAUAAUUUUCAAAAUCAAAUUAUAGCUUUCUAAAAAGUUAUUUUAGUGCUUAUGUAGAAGUUAAAAAAAAAUGAGUUCUCUCGUAAUGAAAUUUUUUUUAUCACUCUUCUCUUAAAAUAAGUACUUUUAGAACAAAAAACCAAAUACAAAAUAACUUAUUUAUAAGUUAUUUUUUAAAAGGAGCUUAAUUAAGCUGUUUACCCAAACUGGGCCUAAGAAUGAUGUUGAAUUGAUUAUGGAUUGGAAGAACACUUCUACUAAGCAAACUUGAGAUUCUUUUCAUGCUAGCUCGUGUUCUGCGUCAGGUUUGUUCCAUUUCCAUGAAUCAAGGUCUAGUUUGAAUGAUUGAACUUUUUGUUUCCUUAGCCUUUUGAUUUUGUUACAAGGAUGGUAACUGCAUUCCGGCUUUGGUUGAUCUUACUUCUAUGAGGGAUGCCAUGAAGAAUCUUGGCAGUGAUCCUAAUAAGAUUUGUCCUCUGGUAUGAAUCCAAAUAGGUUGAUGUAGCAAGAUCAGAUGAUGCAUUUCAAGCAAAUAUGGAAUGUGAGUUCCAUAGGAAUAGAGAGAGAUUUGGUUUCCUUAAAUGGGGUUCGUCAGCUCUCGAUAACAUGAUUGUUGUUCCUCCAGGUUCUGGAAUAGUCCAUCAGGUGAAUCUUGAAUACCUUCGACUGGUGGUUUUCGAAGCUGAUGGGAGUAGGCAGCAAUGCUUGGCCAGGUUAAGUAUAUAUAAUAAAGGUGGUUUGUUUUUAGAUAUAAAUCAAGAUAAAAGUUCCAUGUUAUGAACUAUUUGAUGCAGCUUAUAGUUUUAGUAGUAUAAUCUGAUUGUGAAUUACAUCUCUCUGAAUUUUCAAAUGCUUAUCUUAAGUUGGCUUUUUUAAUAUUUGAAUCAAAUGUGAAUUACAUGUCUGUUUUCACAUUUUUCUAGCUUUGAUGAUCAUGAUAAGUGCACUCACAUUUUGGUGUGACAGCCAAUGACUAUGAUCUUUGUAAAACUCUGAAAUUGAUUACAUGUCCAAGUUUACUUGGUUACAGGUUUCAAUGAUCGAAUCAUAUUUGCAAGCGAACAAGUCAAGUUAGUACUUAACAGAAGUUUCGGAUUUCUAUGAUCACGAAAUCUUUGCUGGUUUUCCAGUAUCAUGAUGAAAGAGUAUAUAUAUCUCAAUUGGGAGAUGUUGAGUCCUAUGUUUCCGGGCCUAAGAGCCAUUAGAAGUUGCACUAAUACAUCAAACCCAAGUGUUAUGCUUUGUGCUGGCCUUGUUGCAAAGAAAGCAUGUGAACUAGGACUAGAGGUUAAUUAAUCUCUGGUUGAUUCAAUCUUAUGAUUGUGUUUCACACUUGUUCUUGAUCAUAAGAUAAAGCAAUGGAUUAAAACAAGUCUAGCUCCUGGAUCAAGGGUAGUUACAGAAUAUCCGAGACAAAGUGGCCUGCAAAAUUAUUUGAACCAGCUAGGCUUUCACACUCAACUAUGGUUGCACAACUUGCAUUGGGAAUUUCGAAUAAGGGUUGACAUUGAUUUUAGUAAAGAGCCAAUUGAAAAUGGAAAGAAUGUGUACUUAAAAGAUAUCUGGCGGAGAACUAAAGAGGUCUGAGAUCCGAGGCUCUUCAAACUUAUGUGCUUCCUGAAAUGUUCAAGAGAAUGUAUGAGUCUAUUUCAAAAGGGAGUCUAAUGUGGGAUCAGCUUUCAAUUCGGGCUUCUCCUCUCUAUUCAUGGAAUCCAAACUCAACCUACAUGCAUGAGCCUCCUUAGUUCAAGAAUAUGACAAUUCUACUAUGCAUAUACUCUUUAUAGUAGGCAUCAUUUUAAUAUUCGUAUUUUCUUAACCAUUAAUACAUAUUAUCUUUAUCUUGUUAAACAAUAAUUUAAAUGUAUAAUUAAUUAAUAAUAAUUGUAUUUUUAUAGGAGUGACAUGAGAAUGUGAUAUGUUAAUUUUUGAAA